GAAGCUCUGGUGUUCUUGUUCAAAUGAUCCAUUGUUGGAAAACUUGGAGUUUUUUGAGAAAUUUUGAAGAAAAAAAUGUUCUUAGAGUAAAGUUUCAGAAAAAAAUGUUGGGAAAGUUGAGGAAAGAAGGAAGAAAUGUUAUUUAUAGUGGAGGAAUAAAAGACUCUUCAUUCUUCACAAGUAAACAAGUGGUGCGGAGCAAGUGGCACAUGGCAUCUCCCCAGAGGAAGGAUUGAAGCGACCUACUACACAUAGCCGAACUACCCCGCG
rnacentral:lncRNA from 1 species